rnacentral:rRNA from 1 species
GACAGAGGAGCCAAGCGUUGUCCGGAUUGACUGGGCGUAAAGCGCACGCAGGCGGCCCGGCGCGUGGGGUGUGAAAAGCUGGCGGCUUAACUGCCAGACGCCAUCCCAUACGGCUGGGCUCGAGCCCUGCAGACGGUCCAUGGAAUUGCCGGUGUAGUGGUGAAAUGCGUAGAGAUCGGCAGGAACACCCAGGGGGAAACCAGUGGACUGGGCAGGAGCUGACGCUCAGGUGCGAAAGCGUGGGGAGCGGAACCGGAUUAGAAAACCCGAGUGA